rnacentral:rRNA from 1 species
GAUGAACGCUGGCGGCGUGCCUAAUACAUGCAAGUCGAACGAAACUUCUUUAUAACCGUGUGAUUGCAAUCACCGAUAAAGAGUUGAGUGGCGAACGGGUGAGUAACACGUGGGCAACCUGCCCAAAAGAGGGGGAAAACACUAGGAAACAGGAGCUCAUACCGCAUAACCAUAGUUACCGCAAGGUAAAAAUGUAAAAGGUGGCGAUACUACCGCUUUUGGUUAGGUCGGCGGCGCAUUAGCUAGUUGGUAGGGUAAAGGUUUACCAAGGCAAUGAGGCGAAGCCGAAUGGAGAGGUUGUUCGGCCACAUUGGGACGGGGACACGGCCCAAACUCCUACGGGAGGCAGCGGAAGGGAAUCUCCCACAUUGGGCGAAAGCCUGAUGGAGCAACGCCGCGGGGGUGAAGAAGUUCUUCGGAUCGUAAAACCCGGUUGUUGGGGAAGACAUUGCUUGAGAGUAACUGUUCACGUUUCGACGGUAACUAACCAGAAAGCCACUGCUAACUACGUG